AUUGACUUGCGCGCUGGUAACUGGCUGACAGAGGGCUUGAUGUAAGGUAAAAAGUUCUUCGACACAACGGUGAUUUUGCCAUACAACAUAUUCAGAAUGAGCAUCACUCAGGUGAAGAAAAAGGCAUCCCUGCUAUGCAACAAUAAGCGUGUGAAGGAGGGGAAAACAAGGAGGGUGACUCCAUCAGUUUUCUCCCAGGAGAUGUUG